GCUUCAGGUUUGGAUGGAGCUUCAUGGUUGUCUUUUGGAGAAAUGACCAGUCAAGUUGUGUUUGAAAUUUGAUUUUUUUCAGGGGCAAAAGGAGCCUCUGCAUUCUUGUCAAAUAUGUAAAUAGCAUGUUUUUGCAGGUGCUAAAAACCAGACUCUGAGUGUGUGUGUGUGCGUGUGUUUGUGUGUGUGUGUGUGUGUGUGUGUGUGUGUGUGUGUGUGCGUUCAAGUCACAUGACAUAUUUAACCGGAUGUAGCUGCAAGACGGAGCCUCGUUGACUCUCCGUUUCAAUUUAUCUCAAAAGUGAGGACCUCAACCUAUAUACCAGUUUUUAAAUUGUGUUGAUAGGCCAAAUAAAACCAGAGUUAUGAUAAAUUAUGUCCACGAUACUUGUUUUCUGCUUAUUUUGAUCACGUUCGGCGCUCGAUCGCGCUGUAUGAGACAGGAAAACAUAGCAUGCAGACAUUAGCGACAGGUCUUACAGGCGGAAAAGGCUUGCCAAAGGAAAAAAAAACACACCACAACAUCUCUCCUAUUGGUGGAAAACUUCACCACAACAACCAAUCCAAAAUUAUAUGGUGACUGAUUGACAAGGGGCGGGAACUUACGUUCUUCCUGCAAUAUGAGAAGGGAGGGAGGGACUCUCAGCAGGGAUGCAGUCUGGGACACGUAGUUGCAAACCUAGCGACUUUGUUGUUAGAUUCAAUGACUUUUCAGACCCCCUAACGACUUUUUUUUAGAAAGAAAGUGACUUUUAUCGACUUCUUCUGGAGUUUAGAGACUCUGACAUGAAGCAGGCUUUCCUUACUGAGGAGUUAGCAACGCUGCUAAGGGUGCAGAGCCACACAUGCGCUCCGAGCUCUGCAUGGGAGACUGAAGCUGACAGAGCUGCAGCAGUUAGCAGGUUUCACCUUCAGAGACCACCAGGGGUUCAUGUUGAGGCAUUUUAAUUUUUUUUUUUUUUUUGCCAUAGACACUGUCAGCACAAUCUGCAGUUACACUAACAAAAAUGCUGCAAAAAACAAAGAAUUAUGGAAAAAUUACACAUGGACUAACAUAGAGGAGGAUCUACACAAGUUUUUUACAUCAUGUUUUACAUCAUGCAUCAUUUACAUCAUGUUUUUUUGUAGUGGCAUAAAUAAAAAGUGACAUUUGUGAGACUAUACAGUGUUUUGUAAAUAAUUUUACAAAGAACACCUGGGCCAUUGCCUGCAUUUUGAUGUCAAUAGAGGUAAAUUACUAUGUUCUUUGUUAAAAAUUUGCAUAUGUUUUGAAGUUUACAAUUUUUAUUUGAAGUUUAAGUUUUAAAAACAGUUCAUCACACAUAUUUGUGGUUUUCACAGUAAAAACGUUACUUUUUUCCACUCGGAUUUUAUGUUUUGUGUGUGAAUUUGGGUCCAAUGUGUAAAUAUAGUAUGUCAAAAUGAUAAAAUAACUGUAAAUUGACACAGGUGAGGUUGUGCUGAAAAAAAUGAUACCAGGCAAGGCAAGGUAAAAAUUUUGUAAGAGGAAAUAUAAAGGUAAAAUCUAAAGUAGUCAAAAACGGCCAAUAGUGACUCACAGACUCCACAGACAAGUCCCUUUGCCGCCACUCAGUGGGCAAAACUACUUUGUCUACUGUAAUGUAUAUUUGGGUCAUCUUUGGCGCCCCCUAAAACGUAAACCGUGGGGUGCAGCGUCAUGAUUUUUACAACUUUGAAUGGCCAUGGAGUGUAGAUUGGCCUGAGCAAAUUUGGUGUCAGUGGGACGAAAGCCUUAGGAGGAGUUAGCGAAAUUCCAAUGUGUGCGAAUCGGCAAAAAAUGCAAAAUAGCCCUUUUACCGUACAUUAUACAGAUACGCGCUCUUUGACUUUUUCGUAGAUCUAAUUGAGAUACACAUGAUUGUCAAUUUUUGUGUCAUUUUGCCAAAGCGUACAGGCGUGACAGUCAACAAUGUGUAUUUUCACCUUAGGGGACAAGAAAAAAUGGACUUUUUUCUCCUGCCAUGGGGGGCGCUCUUUUGGGGAGUAAAAAUUCCUUCACAAAUGUGUUGAUGGCUGGACAUUGCAUCAUCCUAGAAAACUUGGAGGCCAGUGAGGACAAAAAUAAAAAGUUAUAAGACUUUUAAAAAUGUGGAUUUUUGGGUUAUCUUUGGCGCCCCCUAGAACGUAAACCGUGGGGUGCAGCGUCAUGAUUUGAAUAACUUUUAAUGGCCAUGGGGUGUAAUUUGGCCUGAGCAAAUGUGGUGCCGGUGGAACGAAAGCCUUCGGAGGAGUUAGCGAAAUUCCAAUGUGUGCGAAUCGGCAAAAAAUGCGGAAUAACCCUUUAACCGUACAUUAGACAGAUACGCGCGCAUUGACUUUUUUGUAGAUCUUAUUGAGAUACAUGUGUGUGUCAAUUUUUGUGUCAUUUUGACAAAGCGUACAGGCGUGACACUCAACAAUGUGUAUUUUCACCUUAGGGGACAAGAAAAAAAUGGACUUUUUUCUCCUGCCAUGGGGGGGCGCUCUUUUGGGGAGUAAAAAUUCCUUCACAAAUGUGUUGAUGGCUGGACAUUGCAUCAUCCUAGAAAACUUGGAGGCCAGUGAGGGCAAAAAUAAAAAGUUAUAAGACUUUUAAAAAUGUGGAUUUUAGGGUUAUCUUUGGCGCCCCCUAGAACCUAAACCGUGGGGUGCAGCGUCAUGAUUUGAAUAACUUUUAAUGGCCAUGGGGUGUAGAUUGGCCUGAGCAAAUGUGGUGCCGGUGGAACGAAAGCCUUCGGAGGAGUUAGCCACAUUCCAAUGUGUGCGUAUCGGCAAAAAAUGCGGAAUAACCCUUUAACCGUACAUUUGACAGAUACGCGCUCAUAGACUUUUUUGUAGAUCUUAUAGAGAUACAUGUGUGUGUAAAUUUUUGUGUCAUUUUGCCAAAGCGUAAAGGCGUGACACUCAACAAUGUGUAUUUUCACCUUAGGGGACAAGAAAAAAUGGACUUUUUUCUCCUGCCAUGGGGGGGCGCUCUUUUGGGGAGUAAAAAUUCCUUCACAAAUGUGUUGAUGGCUGGACAUUGCAUCAUCCUAGAAAACUUGGAGGCCAGUGAGGACAAAAAUAAAAAGUUAUAAGACUUUUAAAUAUGUGGAUUUUAGGGUUAUUUUUGGCGCCCCCUAGAACCUAAACCGUGGGGUGCAGCGUCAUGAUUUGAAUAACUUUUAAUGGCCAUGGGGUGUAGAUUGGCCUGAGCAAAUGUGGUGCCGGUGGAACGAAAGCCUUCGGAGGAGUUAGCGAAAUUCCAAUGUGUGCAGAUCUGCAAAAAAUGCAAAAUAACCCAUUAACCGUACAUUUGACAGAUACGCCCGCACUGACUUUUUUGUAGAUCUUAUUGAGAUACAUGUGUGUGUCAAUUUUUGUGUCAAUAUGACAAAGCGUACAGCCGUCAUGUGAAUUUUCACCUUAGGGGGCGCUAUGGAGCCAUUUUGCAUUUUCUUGUUUGGGCGACUUCGGAAUAUCAAAUUUUUCACCAGGCCCGGUCGUCCUGCCAAAUUUCCUGAGUUUUCGCCAGUGGGAAGUGGGCCAUUUUCCAGUUCAAAGGGGAGGAAAAAGAAAAAACUAGGGCCCCGUUGGGGCACUGGCGGGCCCGAGCCGUGUCGCGCCGCCCCCAGCGCGACCGCCUACCCCUCCCGAUCGCGUCACACUCAAGGUCCAAAGAUGGUGUGCGCACUUGUCUGUGGUCAUUUACCAUUAUAAUGAAUGGGAGGCGCAGUUUCUACCAAAACGCUCGCUGCAGACAAACUCCAUGUCCUUUUUGAAAAAAGUCUGGACCAUGAGUGAGGGCACAAACACAGCUAUGAUAUAUCCAAAUGGCAAGGUGCUCCUCCUUUCGGUUUUGCCGAGAGAGCGAUGCGUUUGAGCCAUUGAGCGAUGGGCAGGAAAAACUUGACUUUUUCUCCUGCCAUGGGAGGGCGCUCUUUUGGGGAGAAAAAAUUCCUUCACAAAUGUGUUGAUGACUGAACAUUGCAUCAUCCUAGAAAACUUGGAGGCCAGUGAGGACAAAAAUAAAGUUAUAAGACUUUUAAAAAUGUGGAUAUUUGGGUCCUCUUUGGCGCCCCCUAGAACGUAAACCGUGGGGUGCAGCGUCAUGAUAUUUACAACUUUGAAUGGCCAUGGGGUUUAGAUUGGCCUGAGCAAAUUUGGUGUCAGUGGGACGAAAGCCUUAGGAGGAGUUAGCCACAUUCCAAUGUGUGCGAAUCGGCAAAAAAUGCGAAAUAGCCCUUUAACCGUACAUUUUACAGAUACGUGCACAUUGACUUUUUCGUAGAUCUUAUUGAGAUACACGUGAUUGCCAAAUUUUGUGUCAAUAUGACAAAGCGUACAGGCGUGACACUCAACAAUGUGUAUAUUCGCCUUAGGGGACAAGAAAAAAAUGGACUUUUUUCUCCUGCCAUGGGGGGGCGCUCUUUUGGCGAGUAAAAAUUCCUUCACAAAUGUGUUAAUUGCUGGACAUUGCAUCAUCCUAGAGAACUUGGAGGCCAGUGAGGACAAAAAUAAAAAGUUAUAAGACUUUUAAGAAUGUGGAUUUUUGGGUUAUCUUUGGCGCCCCCUAGAACCUAAACCGUGGGGUGCAGCGUCAUGAUUUGUACAACUUUUAAUGGCCAUGGGGUGUAGAUUGGCCUGAGCAAAUUUGGUGCCGGUGGAACGAAAGCCUUCGGAGGAGUUAGCGAAAUUCCAAUGUGUGCGGAUCGGUAAAAAAUGCGAAAUAACCCUUUAACCGUACAUUUGACAGAUACGCCCACACUGACUUUUUUGUAGAUCGUAUUGAGAUACAUGUGUGUGUCAAUUUUUGUGUCAAUAUGACAAAGCGUACAGGCGUGACAGUCAAUAGUGUGAAUUUUCACCUUAGGGGGCGCUAUGGAGCCAUUUUGCAUUUUAUUGUUUGGGCGACUUCAGAAUAUCGAAUUUUUCACCAGGCCCGGUCAUCCUGCCAAAUGUCAUGAGUUUUCGCCAGUGGGAAGUGGGCCAUUUUCCCCUUCAAAGGGGAGGAAAAAUAAGAAGAACUAGGGCCCCGUUGGGGCACUGGCGGGCCCGAGCCGUGUCGCGCCGCCCCCAACACGACCGCCUCUCCCUACCGAUCGCGUCACACUCAAGGUCCAAAGAUGGUGUGCGCACUUGUCUGUGGUCAUUUACAAUUAUAAUGAAUGGGAGGCGCAGUUUCUACCAAAACGCUCGCCGCAGACAAACUACGUGUCCUAUUUGAAAAGGACUGGACCAUGAGUGAGGGCACAAACACAGCUAGGAUAUAUCCAAAUGGCAAGUUGCUCCUCCUUUCGGUUUUGCCGAGAGAGCGAUGUGUUUGAGUCAUUGAGCGAUGGGCAGGAAAAACUUGACUUUUUCUCCUGCCAUGGGGGGGCGCUCUUUUAGGGAGUAAAAAUUCCUUCACAAAUGUGUUGAUGGCUAGACAUUGCAUCAUCCUAGAAAACUUGGAGGCCAGUGAGGACAAAAAUAAAAAGUUAUAAGACUUUUAAGAAUGUGGAUUUUUGGGUUAUCUUUGGCGCCCCCUAGAACAUAAACCGUGGGGUGCAGCGUCAUGAUUUUUACAACUUUGAAUGGCCAUGGAAUGUAGAUUGGCCUGAGUAAAUUUGGUGUCAGUGGAACGAAAUAUUUAGGAGGAGUUAGCCACAUUCCAAUGUGUGCGAAUCGACCAAAAAUGCGAAAUAGCCCUUUAACCGUACAUUUUACAGAUACGCGCCCAUUGACUAUUUCGUAGAUCUUAUUGAGAAACACGUGAUUGUCAAAGUUUGUUACAAUAUGACAAAGCGUACAGGCGUGACACUCAAUAAUGUGAAUUUUCACCUUAGGGGGAAGAAAAACUGGACUUUUUUCUCCUGCCAUGGGGGGGCGCUCUUUUGGGGAGUAAAAAUUCCUUCACAAAUGUGUUGAUGGCUAGACAUUGCAUCAUCCUAGAAAACUUGGAGGCCAGUGAGGACAAAAAUAAAAAGUUAUACGACUUUUAAGAAUGUGGAUUUCUGGGUUAUCUUUGGCGCCCCCUAGAACGUAAACCGUGGGAUGCAGCAUCAUGAUUUGUACAACUUUUAAUGGCCAUGGGGUGUAGAUUGGCCUGAGCAAAUUUGGUGCCGGUGGAACGAAAGCCUUCGGAGGAGUUAGCGAAAUUCCAAUGUGUGCGGAUCGGCAAAAAAUGCGAAAUAGCCCUUUAACCGUACAUUUGACAGAUACGCCCGGACUGACUUUUUUGUAGAUCUUAUUGAGAUACACGUGUGUGUCAAAUUUUGUGUCAUUUUGACAAAGCGUACAGGCGUGACACUCAAUCAUGUGAAUUUUUCACCUUAGGGGGCGCUAUGGAGCCAUUUUGCAUUUGAUUUUUUGGGCGACUUCAGAAUAUCGAAUUUUUCACCAGGCCCGGUCGUCCUGCCAAAUUUCAUGACUUUUCACCAGUGGGAAGUGGGCCAUUUUCCAGUUCAAAGGGGCAGAAAAAUAAUAACUAGGACCCCGUUGGGGCACUGGCGGGCCCGAGCCGUGUCGCGUCCCCCCCCCCCAAACGUGCUGCCUCCCCGUCCCAUUUGUGUCCUCUGGCCAUCGCCCUCUCUGGUAACGCCCAUCACUGCAAAGACCCUUUUCCUUCAUCGGCGUUUGCUGUUCUUCUUGCCAGUGCGUGUUGCUUUCACUUACACUUGCCACAGCCAGCCUCGUGAGUGCCUAGCCUAUUGGAUAUCACUGUCACUUACACAGGACAGUCAUUACCUUUCUAUUAAUACUUUGUGUUUUAAUUUCACAUUAAUUUCCAUAUUGUAUAAACGACUGGAAAAAACUUGAGCCCCUGCCCCUGUAUAAUCAUGUGCAUGUCUCUGUUCUAGCUCCAAGGUGAAUCUUCACAGCUCAUGUUCUCCUCAGAAG